GAUGAAGAACGCAGUGAAAUGCGAUAAGUAAUGUGAAUUGCAGAAUUCAGUGAAUCAUCGAAUCUUUGAACGCACAUUGCGCCCGCCAGAAUACUGGCGGGCAUGCCUGUUCGAGCGUCAUUUCAACCAUCAAGCCCCCGGCUUGUGUUGGGGACCUGCGGCUGCCGCAGGCCCUGAAAAGCAGUGGCGGGCUCGCUGUCACACCGAGCGUAGUAGCAUACAUCUCGCUCUGGGCGUGCUGCGGGUUCCGGCCGUUAAACCACCUUCAUAACCCAAGGUUGACCUCGGAUCAGGUAGGAAGACCCGCUGAACUUAAGCAUAUCAAUAAGCGGAGGA
rnacentral:misc_RNA from 1 species